UAGCCAUGGUGAGGGCACUGCUUUAACAGAUAUUUGAAUCUUUUCCAGACUUAAUAAAACAUUUCAUUGUCUUUUUGGGCAAAUAUGGAAAUUUGUCGUUUUAGACU